AGAGUUUGAUCCUGGCUCAGGACGAACGCUGGCGGCGCGCCUAACACAUGCAAGUCGAACGGAGCUGAGAGGAGCUUGCUUUUCUUAGCUUAGUGGCGAACGGGUGAGUAACGCGUGAGUAACCUGCCCUGGAGUGGGGGACAACAGUUGGAAACGACUGCUAAUACCGCAUAAGCCCACGAUCCGGCAUCGGAUUGAGGGAAAAGGAUUUAUUCGCUUCAGGAUGGACUCGCGUCCAAUUAGCUAGUUGGUGAGGUAACGGCCCACCAAGGCGACGAUUGGUAGCCGGACUGAGAGGUUGAACGGCCACAUUGGGACUGAGACACGGCCCAGACUCCUACGGGAGGCAGCAGUGGGGGAUAUUGCACAAUGGGGGAAACCCUGAUGCAGCGACGCCGCGUGGAGGAAGAAGGUUUUCGGAUUGUAAACUCCUGUCGUUAGGGACGAUAAUGACGGUACCUAACAAGAAAGCACCGGCUAACUACGUGCCAGCAGCCGCGGUAAAACGUAGGGUGCAAGCGUUGUCCGGAAUUACUGGGUGUAAAGGGAGCGCAGGCGGACCGGCAAGUUGGAAGUGAAAACUAUGGGCUCAACCCAUAAAUUGCUUUCAAAACUGCUGGCCUUGAGUAGUGCAGAGGUAGGUGGAAUUCCCGGUGUAGCGGUGGAAUGCGUAGAUAUCGGGAGGAACACCAGUGGCGAAGGCGGCCUACUGGGCACCAACUGACGCUGAGGCUCGAAAGUGUGGGUAGCAAACAGGAUUAGAUACCCUGGUAGUCCACACCGUAAACGAUGAUUACUAGGUGUUGGAGGAUUGACCCCUUCAGUGCCGCAGUUAACACAAUAAGUAAUCCACCUGGGGAGUACGACCGCAAGGUUGAAACUCAAAGGAAUUGACGGGGGCCCG
rnacentral:rRNA from 1 species